rnacentral:rRNA from 1 species
AGCUCCAAUAGCGUAUAUUAAAGUUGCUGCAGUUAAAAAGCUCGUAGUUGGAUUUCUGGGUCGGCGGGCGGGCCGCUGCCGCGAGGCAGUCGCGCCGCGCCUCGCCGUUCCAUCCUUGAGUGGGUCCGUGCUGGCAUUAGCUUGUCGGCGCGGGGAAGCUCAUCGUUUACUGUGAACAAAAUUGAGUGUUCAAAGCAGGCUUAAGCCUUUGAAAAAAUUAGCAUGGAAUAAUGAGAUAGGACAGAUUGACUAUUUCGUUGGUUUGCGCGAUCUGUAAUGAUUAAUAGGGACAGUUGGGGCUACUCGUAUUCAGUUGUCAGAGGUGAAAUUCUUGGAUUUACGGAAGACGAACGAUUGCGAAAGCAUUUAGCAAGGAUGUUUUCAUUAAUCAAGAACGAAA